UUGAUCCAUACAUAGCAAAAUCAGAAAAAUUGGAACAACACUGAGAAGAUUAGCAUGGCCCCAUGCGGUGAUCCAUCUUGUGAACAAAGAAAAAUUAUAAAGUUGU